UGCAUGUGAUGAGGGCAGGGAUUCAACGUUUCUUUAAAAUGAGCCCAUGCUUGGUACAUGUCCUCCCCCGUGUUUUGCUUAAAGCUUAAUAUCUCAUUUCUGAACCA
rnacentral:snoRNA from 1 species